UGGAAACUUACUAAGUGAUCACUUUCAAAUUCAGAGAAACCCUGGAAUUAACAAAAAUGGGCAAUCCUGAGCCAAAUCCUGUUUUCCGAAAACAAACAAAGAUUCAGAAAAAAAGGAUAGGUGCAGAGACUCAAUGGAAGCUAUUCUAACAAAUGGAGUUAAAUGCGUUGGUAGAGGAAUCUUUACAUCGAAACUUCAGAAAGAAAAUGAUUAAUGAUGACCUGAAUCCGUAUUUUUUCUAUAAAAAAUAGAAGAAUUGGUGUGAAUCGAUUCUACAUUGAAGAAAGAAUCGAAUAUUCAUUGAUCAAAUCAUUCACUCCAUAGUCUGAUAGAUCUUUUGAAGAACUGAUUAAUCCGACGAGAAUAAAGAUAGAGUCCCGUUCUACAUGUCAAUACCGGCAACAAUGAAAUUUAUAGUAAGAGGAAAAUCCGUCGACUUUAAAAAUCGUGAGGGUUCAAGUCCCUCUAUCCCCAAAAAGACUAUUUCACUCCCCAACUAUUUAUCCGACCCCCUUUCCUUAGCGGUUCAAAAUUCCUUAUCUUUCUCAUUCACUCUAUUCUUUUAGA
rnacentral:precursor_RNA from 1 species